AUGACGAACGCUGGCGGCGUGCCUAAUACAUGCAAGUCGUACGCUUCUUUUUCCACCGGAGCUUGCUCCACCGGAAAAAGAAGAGUGGCGAACGGGUGAGUAACACGUGGGUAACCUGCCCAUCAGAAGGGGACAACACUUGGAAACAGGUGCUAAUACCGUAUAACAAUCGAAACCGCAUGGUUUUGAUUUGAAAGGCGCUUUCGGGUGUCGCUGAUGGAUGGACCCGCGGUGCAUUAGCUAGUUGGUGAGGUAACGGCUCACCAAGGCUACGAUGCAUAGCCGACCUGAGAGGGUGAUCGGCCACAUUGGGACUGAGACACGGCCCAAACUCCUACGGGAGGCAGCAGUAGGGAAUCUUCGGCAAUGGACGAAAGUCUGACCGAGCAACGCCGCGUGAGUGAAGAAGGUUUUCGGAUCGUAAAACUCUGUUGUUAGAGAAGAACAAGGAUGAGAGUAACUGUUCAUCCCUUGACGGUAUCUAACCAGAAAGCCACGGCUAACUACGUGCCAGCAGCCGCGGUAAUACGUAGGUGGCAAGCGUUGUCCGGAUUUAUUGGGCGUAAAGCGAGCGCAGGCGGUUUCUUAAGUCUGAUGUGAAAGCCCCCGGCUCAACCGGGGAGGGUCAUUGGAAACUGGGAGACUUGAGUGCAGAAGAGGAGAGUGGAAUUCCAUGUGUAGCGGUGAAAUGCGUAGAUAUAUGGAGGAACACCAGUGGCGAAGGCGGCUCUCUGGUCUGUAACUGACGCUGAGGCUCGAAAGCGUGGGGAGCAAACAGGAUUAGAUACCCUGGUAGUCCACGCCGUAAACGAUGAGUGCUAAGUGUUGGAGGGUUUCCGCCCUUCAGUGCUGCAGCUAACGCAUUAAGCACUCCGCCUGGGGAGUACGACCGCAAGGUUGAAACUCAAAGGAAUUGACGGGGGCCCGCACAAGCGGUGGAGCAUGUGGUUUAAUUCGAAGCAACGCGAAGAACCUUACCAGGUCUUGACAUCCUUUGACCACUCUAGAGAUAGAGCUUCCCCUUCGGGGGCAAGGUGACAGGUGGUGCAUGGUUGUCGUCAGCUCGUGUCGUGAGAUGUUGGGUUAAGUCCCGCAACGAGCGCAACCCUUAUUGUUAGUUGCCAUCAUUUAGUUGGGCACUCUAGCAAGACUGCCGGUGACAAACCGGAGGAAGGUGGGGAUGACGUCAAAUCAUCAUGCCCCUUAUGACCUGGGCUACACACGUGCCACAAUGGGAAGUACAACGAGUCGCGAAGUCGCGAGGCUAAGCUAAUCUCUUAAAGCUUCUCUCAGUUCGGAUUGUAGGCUGCAACUCGCCUACAUGAAGCCGGAAUCGCUAGUAAUCGCGGAUCAGCACGCCGCGGUGAAUACGUUCCCGGGCCUUGUACACACCGCCCGUCACACCACGAGAGUUUGUAACACCCGAAGUCGGUGAGGUAACCUUUUGGAGCCAGCCGCCUAAGGUG
rnacentral:rRNA from 1 species